UACAGAGGGUGCGAGCGUUAAUCGGAAUUACUGGGCGUAAAGCGUGCGUAGACGGCUAUCUAAGUCGGGUGUGAAAGCCCCGGGCUCAACCUGGGAAUUGCAUUCGAGACUGAAUAGCUAGGGUGCGGUAGAGGGAAGCGGAAUUUCCGGUGUAGCGGUGAAAUGCGUAGAUAUCGGAAGGAACACCAGUGGCGAAGGCGGCUUGCUGGGCCGGACCUGACGCUGAGACGCGAAGGCGUGGGGAGCGAACGGG
rnacentral:rRNA from 1 species